AACACGUGAGCAACCUGCCCCCUACUUCGGGAUAAGCCUUGGAAACGAGGUCUAAUACCGGAUAUGAGCACCUACCGCAUGGUGGGUGUUGGAAAGUUUUUCGGUGGGGGAUGGGCUCGCGGCCUAUCAGCUUGUUGGUGGGGUAAUGGCCUACCAAGGCGUCGACGGGUAGCCGGCCUGAGAGGGCGACCGGCCACACUGGGACUGAGACACGGCCCAGACUCCUACGGGAGGCAGCAGUGGGGAAUAUUGCACAAUGGGCGAAAGCCUGAUGCAGCGACGCCACGUGAGGGAUGACGGCCUUCGGGUUGUAAACCUCUUUCAGCAGGGAAGAAGCGAAAGUGACGGUACCUGCAGAAGAAGCGCCGGCUAACUACGUGCCAGCAGCCGCGGUAAUACGUAGGGCGCAAGCGUUGUCCGGAAUUAUUGGGCGUAAAGAGCUCGUAGGCGGUCUGUCGCGUCUGGUGUGAAAUCCCAUGGCUCAACUGUGGGCUUGCAUCGGGUACGGGCAGACUAGAGUGCUGUAGGGGAGACUGGAAUUCCUGGUGUAGCGGUGGAAUGCGCAGAUAUCAGGAGGAACACCGAUGGCGA
rnacentral:rRNA from 1 species